GUGUGUGUGUGUGUGUGUGAGGGGUGCGGUGUGUGUGAUGUGUGUGAGAGUGCCGUGUGAGUGCCGUGCGAGUGCCGUGCGUGAGUGAUGGGUGUGAGAGUGCCGUGCGUGAGUGAUGGGUGUGAGAGUGCUGUGUGAGAUGGGUGUGAGAGAGUGCUGUGUGAGAGUGCCGUGCGUGAGUGAUGGGUGUGAGAGUGCCGUGUGUGAGAUGGGUGUGAGAG